ensembl:lncRNA
UAAGCAUUUAUUUGAAAAGAACAAUAUAAAAACAUUAUUUUCAUUUUUGAGAGUGUGUUUUCUUGUGAAAGCUUUUUGUUGUUGUUUUUUCUGAAACUAUGAAUACGAAUACAAAUAGUGGCCCAUAAACCGAAUGAAUCCCUUACAUGCAAUUCCAUGACCUCAUAAUUCCCUGGUGUUACCUGCAGCUAUUUAAAAUUGUAAAAUACAGCUGCAUUGGGAAAGAUGAGAUGUGAGCACAUACCUUGCUUCCUCCUGCCAUAUAUUAAGUACCCACUGGGAUAAGCUGCCAGUGAACACAGGUGUAUUCUGGGCAGCAUGACCGAACCGCUCUUGUCUUUAGUGUCAUGGAUGUCCAAAAUGCAGUUUUGAUUCCUCCAGUUCCCAGAGAGCUAUUUCUGUUGGGAUGCUCACGUGAUAUUCGGUUCAGGAAAUUCUCUUCUAGCAGAAGAUAUAAUCCUUUCGUAUAGAAAGUACCAUCACUGCAACUGGGUUUGUCAAAGGAUUUAUCUGCCUUAGUAAAGGUAUUCCCUGGAGGUAGCAGGAAGAAGUCUCCUUGUUGAGCCAAAACUACCACCACUUUAUGUGUAUUUAAUAAUGAUGUUCUUGAGGUUUAAAAAUCAGCAAAUUUAUAGUUCUGAAAUUACGGAUUGAUACUUUUGUUUUAAAUGUAUGUCCCCUAUCGUCAUCACUCAAGAAUUCUCUUCUCAGGUACUUCCCUCCUAGUUGUUACUGUUCUGUAUCUGGAAGAGGAAGUACAUUAACCGCACAUGUGAGUCCAAACACACACACAAGCACAGCAGAAUUAUCUACUGGUAGCCAUUAUCUGUAAAACUAAUUAAGGAGAAUAGCAUAUUAACAUGCACAUCGUGAAGCAAACUCCUUUCUCUCUAGAGUAUAUUCUCAUUGAGAUACAAGGACUUUAUCUUUGGCACAGUGGGUCUGAACUAAUUGAGAUGUCAUUAAAAAAAAAGAAGUCGGUUAAGGAGGUUAGAGGAGAGCGAUGGUGCUGCAAAAUUGUCAAUGUGCAAGAAGACAGUUUUUAGUAAAAACACCGCCCCCAGUUGCAGACCUAAUCAAUGGCAGGAAUGAGGGAGGGGUGAGGGGCAGAUAAUAGGGAAAAAUAAUGUCUCGAAGAGAAAAAAAAGAGCAAGACCCUAAUUGAAAUGGGAAGCACUCUCAUUUUAGAAAAUGUUUCCUUAGCAGAUUGUUCUAGCCCUCUGCCUCAAGGUUUUUGAUUAAAUUAAUGAUGGUAGUGAUAAGCUCCAUUAGUGUUUCUGUUUCCAGAGGGAUAUUUUCUACAGCCUUCUCUUGUCCUUUCUUUCCCACAUCUCAGGUAUGACAAUAGAAUUGCUAAUUGAAGCCAGAACAAGCCAAGAAGAUGAACUUAUUAUUACUAUGCAAAUGCAGACAAUCCAGGAAAUUAAUAUUUCAUGUGUGCCUACCUAAACGAGUAAUGUUCCCAUUAUGGGCUUCGUGUCACUCAGCUGGGAAGCUGUUGCUGCAGCUUGUUGUCGUCAGUGAGGUCUUGAACUUCUCUUUCUUGUUGCAUGUAGCCUGCUGUCUUGGGACCAGUCAGCACAUCUGACAUGUUGUGUUCGGUUCCCCUCGCUGUUAUCACAGAUCUUCCACCAGUGCAAGUAGAUGAACUUGUUCUGAUCCGCAGGAUAUUAUCAACUUGAUUUCUUGUCUUGGUAGUAAAUGAGAGGAAAACAGCAGCCAAGUCCUAGAUGACAAAGAAGGGAAGAAUAUUUCAAUAAAAGGAAUCAUAAAAUUCCUAAUAGGGGAUGUGAUAGGGACUCUUCCGUAAAGCAUAAUUAUCCUACUGAGAGCUUUGGAAAACACAAUAAAAAAGUGUUACUUUGGGAGCCUGAAAUAGUUACAUUAAAUUAUUCAUAAAAUUAUUCAUUUGUUUGCUACACUCCACUAUAUUGCAUAUUCAUAUGAAAGCUAUUGUAGGUAACAGCAUUGUGUGUGUUUGUGAAAAACAGAGUGUGUAGUAGAAAUAAGUGAGAAGUAAUUUUGGUUUUAGUCCUCUAAUUCUGGUUUGGGGUUAAAUAUCAAAUAAUAAAUAUGGUACCUAAGAGCAGAACCCAAAAGAAAUCUUCUUGUUAAUCUACCAUAGGGCCUGAAAUACUAUUAAGCAUUCAAGUACAUAUUCAACAAAUAUGUUGGAUUCAAUUCAUUUUUGUGUCCUUAACCUUGUUGAAAAAUAGAUACAUUCUAGAAAUGGAGGAAGAAGAUGAGUGACAGAGAAAAAUGGGCUUGUUGAGGUGUCCAUGAUUCUCUGUCAUUCUUUCUACAAAAUCAUCGAUUGAUAUUAUCUUUCACAGUUAGUUAGGUUCUUCUUUGCCUUUAUGAAGAAUACCCUACAGUUAUAGGUGGUAUUCAGUCAGAGACUUUCAAGGCAACUGGAGUCCAGAAUGUCUGUUCCAAAAAGAUCAUGCGGAAGUUUUGAAGAUGCAGAAUAAUUUGUUAGACAGAAAUGAGUAGGGAGUACAUGUCUGAUAAUUGAGAGAGAGAGGAACAGUGGUCACGAACCCGACUAGUAUCCAUGAGGAUGAGGGUUCCAUCCCUGGCCUCACUCAGUGGGUUAAGGAUCCCAUCUUGCUGUGAGCUGUGGUGUAGGUUGCAGACACGGCUCAAAUCCUGCAUUGCCACAGCUGUGGCUAAGCUGGCAGCUGCAGCUCCCGUUUGACCCCUAGCCUGGGAACACCCAUAUGCUGCAGGUGCAGCCCUAAAAAGCAAAAUACAUACAUACAUACAUGCAUACAUACAUACAUAAGAGGGAAAAAGCAUUGCUUAUGUUUGCCUAGAUGAGGUAAAAAGGCUGAACUAGAAUAUUACAGAGAUUGAGGAUAGUUAUGUCUUCCAGAGAACUGGCCCCAGAUCUCAACAUGUAAUACAAGGUAGACCUGGAGUUAAAUUCUGAGAUGACCUGGGUUUGCUAAACUCAAGCGUUAAUCUUGUGAUUUAGAAAAUUCGAUCAAAGUAGCUUUUGUUCUUCUCGACUAGGGAAUUUUCUUUAUUAAAGUUCUUUUGAAAAUGUUACCUGGAAUUUUAUACAUUUCCCUUUUCUGAUCCUUCUUUGAGUGUCAUGUAUCUUUUCCAUGUUACUCACAAUAAAUUGGGUAGGUGCCUCCAUGCAAGAAAAAGGAUGUUUUCUACUGUGUUUGCAGUACCUCUGUGUGGAAGCCUGUUUUUGCUGAAAUCUUUUUAUUAUUCCAGCUCACUGUAAUGAAAUCUAUAAAGGAUUCCCAUUUAAAAGAAAGGAAGGGAGUUCCCGUAGUGGCUCAGUGGCUAAUGAAUCCAACGAGGAACCAUGAGGUUGCGGGUUCGAUCCCUGGCCUUGCCCAGUGGGUUAAGGAUCCGGCGUUGCCGUGAGCUGUGGUGUAGGUCACAAAGGUGGCUCAGAUAUGGUGUUGCUGUGGCUGUGGCGUAGACCAGCGGCUGCAGCUCCGAUUAGACCCCUAGCCUGGGAACCUCCAUAUGCCGCAGGAGCGGCCCUAGAAAAGGCAAAAAGACAAAUAAAUAAAUAAACAAAUAAAAGGAAGAUAAAAGGAACAAUACAUAAAUGUAAACCAAUUCAGAACUCUCAAAUUAUUUUUAAAAUUUUUACAUAUGCAUCAAUAAAACAUACUUGCAUAAAGUUUUAAUGGGAAAUAUUUAUCAAUCCCCUUUUCAAAAAUAUAAGUGCACAAGUGUUGGUAGCUAAAAAAGAUGAAAUUUGUUGAAUCUCUGGACUUAUGAAAAUACUUAUUUUUGGGAGCUAUUAUAUAAGUGCACAAGUGUUGGUAGCUAAAAAAGAUGAAAUUUGUUGAAUCUCUGGACUUAUGAAAAUACUUAUUUUUGGGGGCUAUGUGUCCUCUUUGACACAAAUAUAUCUGAUAUUCUCAAUGAAAUUGCUUACAAAAUAGGACUAAAUCUGCCCGAAUUUUAUGUUAGACAUCCUCAAUGAAUGUAGCAAGGAAGAAGAGCUGGAAGUGGAACCUAAAGGAUACUGUCUUGGUACCUUUUCAGUAAGCUUUCAUCAGAUUUUAGAGGGUAGAGAUUUAUUAUACUCUUCAAAUAGGAUUCAUUUACCCUGAUUCAUCUUUCCUCGUUAUACACAGUUAAGCACAGAAAAAAAUUAACAAACUCUUAAUGCCUACUAAUGAUUUGUUUUCAUAUUUGAUUCUUGCUAUUUAUUCUUAGGCCCUCCCAAGUGGAAAUGUUGAAAAUACCAUUCCUUGGCGCUCCCUGGUUGGCUUAGUGGGUUAAGGAUCAGGUGUUGUCGCUUUGUCACUGCUGCGGUUCGGGUCAGUGCUGUGGCAUAGGUUCCAUCCCUGGCAUGGAUACUUCCACAUGCCAAGAGUGUGGCAAAAAAACAAACAAGCGAACAGAGAUAUUAAAGAACUACUGAGCUAUGAGCUGCUCUGAGGUUAUAUUUUAGAAGUUAAGUUCUAGAGGGGAAGAAUCUUUUGUUUGAGGUAUUUUGUGUUAUCUCGUAUAUCCAUUAUAGCAUCAGGAGUAAUUAGUACCACACACUAGAAAGCCACCAUCCUAGGAAUGAAUCUCCUGGGUGCUGAGCUCUGAAGGAAAAGUUGACGGUCUUUAGGGCGGCGAGGUGGUGACUGUAUAACUACAUUACUUCAAUGUUCUGUCUUAUGUGCGGCUCAAGAAAUAUCUGUUUACUUUAAUUGAGUGGGCAUAAAUAGCAUUUACCAGAAAUCCUUUGCUGGCAGCCAGCUGCAUUGGGCUGUGGAGAACCGUAGAGUAUUCUCCCUGGAGUUGGAGGGAACACAACCUCUUUUUAGUGUUCAUCUUUGAUCAAAGGGGAGACUUACAUUGUAAGAUCAGUUAUGAUUUCAUUCUGAUUACCAUUAAGUGGUUUAAUAGAAAACAAAUUUUAUAUUCUCCUAAAGAAUCUAUGGGCAAAAAAGACAAAUAAAGUAAAAUACUGGGUUUUCAGAUAAUUUGUUUUUAGUGGUUUUCAUUUUCUUAAGAAAUUAAGAAUUGCUUUCUUUUUAUGUUUCCAUAAUAGCAAGGCUACUUUGUCAUCUGACUUUCUCUGAUAUAAAACUGGGUGAGCUAGAGGGAAUAUGUAGAAACCAACCCCAAACCACCUGGAUAUAGUUUACUCCGUCUCCAUCAAUCAUUUAUUGCAGACUUGAUAUCUUAAUGUUUCAGCUGUCAGAACACUGACUUUAAUCUAAGGAAGUCUAUGUUUUUGUUUACAUUAUCUCAAUUCCAAGUAUCUAUGGGAAAAAAAUUAUGGGAUGUCAGAAAUAUCGAAGAUUAUUAUGUCUGCUUAAUGAGAUGGAUACUCCCUAAAGAAACUAAAGUCAGUGAUACGGAAUGUGAGCAGCAGAAAAACAUUCUAAAGUUAAGGAAGGUGGGAGUGGGGGGAGGGUAGCAGUUUAGGAAGCAGUGAAGUUAGUCUGAGAUAUUUGCUUGGUGUUGGCCUCUGAUGGUCAUGAAGAAAAGGGACUGUCUUGUAAUCCUUUUCUCUAUAUUUUUUCUUUUUAUUUAAAAGUGGCUUUUAUUGCUUUUGUAUUGCAGUAUAGUUGAUUUACGAGGUUGUGCUAAUUUCUGCUGUACAGCAGUGACCUGCUCAUAUAUAUACAUUCCACUAUCUUCCAUCAUGGGCUGUCCCGAGAGAGUGGAUAUAGCUGCCUGUGCUGCACAGAAGGACCUCUUUGCAUAUCCAUUCUAAAUGUAAUAGUUUGCAUUUUUCAUCUUUCUGAAGAAAGUUCGAUUUUCCCUUGUUAGCCCUGAAACGUUUCUUUUUUCUCCAAAGUUUUACCUUUUCUCUUUAUAAAUGCUCACGGGUCAGAGUCAUGAGCAUCUGGUGCUUGUUCAGUAAAAGAUAGUCAUGUUGUCUUAGAAGAAAGGCCUCAGGUUACUACACAUACUUCCGGUCCCCAGCCUGGCGUCGCUAUGCAGAGGAGAUUUUAGAUCAUAGCAUGAUUACCUGUGAUACAUUUUCUUGUCUUUCCUUCUUUCUUAAUUUUGCGUUUCUUAAAAUUCCUAACCAAGUUUAUCAUAAGCAUUGCUUAAAAAUAUGACAUAAAUUACUUUUCAUUUCCAAAAACUAUCAGGACAUCAAAGGGAGGCAUUCCUGUCAUGGCUCAGGAGUAACGAACCCAGGAGGGAUGCAGGUUCAAUCCCUGGCCUUGCUCAAUUGGCUAAGGAUCCAGCAUUGCCUGGAGCUGUGGUGUAGGUUGCAGACUAGGCUCGGAUGCUGCCAUGCUGUGGCUGUGGCCUAGGCUGGCAGAUGUAGCUCUGUUUGGCCCCCUAGCCUGAGACUGUCCAUAUGCCAUGAGUGUGGCCCUAAAAAGCAAAAAAAAAAAAAAAAA